rnacentral:miRNA from 1 species
UCCACUUUAAACACUCAGCCU